rnacentral:sRNA from 1 species
UGAUCGGUAAUGAUGUUUAUGGAUUCGAC